CUCUAAUCGGCGAGUCCCAAAUAGGACGAAACGCCCGUCCUGGAU
rnacentral:hammerhead_ribozyme from 1 species